ACACGACUACAUUAGAUACCCGUGUAGUCCUAGCCGUAAACGAUACUCGCUAGGUGUCGGCCACGGUGCGACCGUUGUCGGUGCCGUAGGGAAGCCGUGAAGCGAGCCACCUGGGAAGUACGGCCGCAAGGCUGAAACUUAAAGGAAUUGGCGGGGGAGCACAACAACGGGUGGAGCUUGCGGUUUAAUUGGACUCAACGCCGGGAAGCUCACCGGAUAAGACAGCGGAAUGAUUGCCGGGCUGAAGACCCUGCAUGACCAGCUG
rnacentral:rRNA from 1 species